rnacentral:rRNA from 1 species
UACGUAGGGGGCAAGCGUUGUCCGGAAUCAUUGGGCGUAAAGAGCGUGUAGGCGGCCAGAAAAGUCCGCUGUGAAAACUCGAGGCUCAACUUCGAGCUGUCGGUGGAAACUUUCUGGCUAGAGUCCGGAAGAGGAGAAUGGAAUUCCUGGUGUAGCGGUGAAAUGCGCAGAUAUCAGGAGGAACACCGAUGGCGAAGGCGGGUCUCUGGGCAACAACUGACGCUGAGGAGCGAAAGCGUGGGGAGCGAACAGG